GUACGAAUAAGGGCUGGGCAAGACCGGUGCCAGCCGCCGCGGUAAUACCGGCAGCCCGAGUGAUGGCCGAUAUUAUUGGGCCUAAAGCGUCCNGUAGCUGGCCGGACAAGUCCGUUGGGAAAUCUGUUCGCUUAACGAGCAGGCGUCCAGCGGAAACUGUUCGGCUUGAGACCGGAAGACCUGAGGGGUACGUCCGGGGUAGGAGUGAAAUCCUGUAAUCCUGGACGGACCACCGGUGGCGAAAGCGCCUCAGGAGGACGGAUCCGACAGUGAGGGACGAAAGCUAGGGUCUCGAACCGGAUUAGAUACCCGGGUAGUCCUAGCUGUAAACGAUGCCCGCUAGGUGUGGCGCAGGCUACGAGCCUGCGCUGUGCCGUAGGGAAGCCGAGAAGCGGGCCGCCUGGGAAGUACGUCUGCAAGGAUGAAACUUAAAGGAAUUGGCGGGGGAGCACUACAACCGGAGGAGCCUGCGGUUUAAUUGGACUCAACGCCGGACAUCUCACCAGCUCCGACAGUAGUAAUGACGGUCAGGUUGAUGACCUUACCCGAUGCUACUGAGAGGAGGUGCAUGGCCGCCGUCAGCUCGUACCGUGAGGCGUCCUGUUAAGUCAGGCAACGAGCGAGACCCGCACUCCUAAUUGCCAGCAGUACCCUUUGGGUAGCUGGGUACAUUAGGUGGACUGCCGCUGCUAAAGCGGAGGAAGGAACGGGCAACGGUAGGUCAGUAUGCCCCGAAUGAGCUGGGCAACACGCGGGCUACAAUGGUCGAGACAAUGGGAUGCAACUCCGAGAGGAGGCGCUAAUCUCCUAAACUCGAUCGUAGUCCGGAUUGAGGGCUGAAACUCGCCCUCAUGAAGCUGGAUUCGGUAGUAAUCGCG
rnacentral:rRNA from 1 species